rnacentral:lncRNA from 1 species
AAGCAGCAGUCAAAUGUGCACUGAAAACAAACCGUAUUUAGUGAAUAGUGAGUGGCCAAGCGGCAGGCAACCAUUUCCACACCAAGAAGCUUAUUCCCGCGAGAGCCAAGAAUUCUCCUGCAAGAAGAGGGCACACACGUUUUAAGACAGUAUCCUAAUGCCAGUAUUUGACAACUAUCUAUUCAAAAGCUAAGAGAGUUCAACCGUGCAAAGAAUAUACCGUUUACACUAUAAGAGCUUCGAUUACAGAGGACAAAGCACCUGUAUGAUCUCUUCAUGGUUUCAAUCAGUAAGUAUACUUUGUAAACAGAGGCCUCUUUAGGGCAAUGCAUCAGCUUGUCUUCAACACGAUUUGCGCCAUGCCAGAAGGGAACUCAUGCAUUCAGUAAAACACACGAUGAUGUAGUAAAGAC